GACGAACGCUGGCGGCGUGCCUAAUACAUGCAAGUAGAACGCAGUUGCGAACGGGUGAGUAACGCGUAGGUAACCUGCCUCAUAGCGGGGGAUAACUAUUGGAAACGAUAGCUAAUACCGCAUACUGUGAGAUGGACCUGCGUUGUAUUAGCUAGUUGGUGAGGUAAAGGCUCACCAAGGCGACGAUACAUAGCCGACCUGAGAGGGUGAUCGGCCACACUGGAACUGAGACACGGUCCAGACUCCUACGGGAGGCAGCAGUGGGGAAUAUUGCACAAUGGGCGCAAGCCUGAUGCAGCCAUGCCGCGUGUAUGAAGAAGGCCUUCGGGUUGUAAAGUACUUUCAGCGGGGAGCGUUACCCGCAGAAGAAGCACCGGCUAACUCCGUGCCAGCAGCCGCGGUAAUUC
rnacentral:rRNA from 1 species